rnacentral:rRNA from 1 species
UACGGGGGGGACAAGCGUUGUUCGGAUUUACUGGGCGUAAAGGGCGCGUAGGCGGACCUUCAAGUCGGGUGUGAAAACUGGCGGCUUAACCACCAGCCUGCAUUUGAUACUGUUGGUCUUGAGUACAGGAGAGGAGAGUGGAAUUCCAGGUGUAGCGGUGACAUGCGUAGAUAUCUGGAAGAACACCAGUAGCGAAGGCGGCUCUCUGGACUGAUACUGACGCUAAGGCGCGAAGGCUUGGGGAGCAAACAGG